UACGUAGGGGGCAAGCGUUGUCCGGAAUCAUUGGGCGUAAAGCGCGUGUAGGCGGCUCGAUAAGUCUGCUGUGAAAGUCCAGGCUCAACCCUGGGAUGCCGGUGGAUACUGUCGAGCUCGAGUCCGGAAGAGGAGUGUGGAAUUCCUGGUGUAGCGGUGAAAUGCGCAGAUAUCAGGAGGAACACCGGUGGCGAAGGCGGGAUCCUGGGCCAGUACUGACGCUGAGGAGCGAAAGCGUGGGGAGCAAACAGGG
rnacentral:rRNA from 1 species